GACAUCUCUCUCGCUUGCUGCACCCUUUGUUGUUGCGAUGUCCUCCUUUUGUUCAGUAAUAAUUGGGGUAAUAAUCGCAAACUGAUAUUUUAUUGAAAUGGUUAAUACCUGUAGCAAUGUCUAUGUACUAGUUAAAUGGACGUUCUUCCGUUGAAACUCAACCUAGCCUAGGAUAGCCGCUAGGCCUAUUCUGUUGCUAUUUGGAAAAAAAGAAGAGUCCGCAACAUGCCAAGGUCUCUAGGCCUAUGCACAGUCAGUAUUGUGAUUGACAUUGGCAAUGGUUUACUUAUAGAAAAGGACCAGCUCAUAGCCAUCACUCAGAUAAGCGAUGGGGCACGAGGCAAAUUCAAAAUUUGUUUGUUAUUGUUUCCGAUGCAUGAAGUGGUAGGGAAAUACAAGUUAGGGAAGAAAAGCAAGGCACAUGUGGAACAUCUGUAGAGAAAGAGCAUUUGGAUCCCAUCUGAAUUACUGCCAUAACAGAUUUCCUGAGGCUUCAACUACUCUUUUGAGGCAGUCUCUGCCAAACAGAAUAAAGAAA